UACGCAGGGGGCUAGCGUUGCUCGGAAUCACUGGGCGUAAAGCGCACGUAGGCGGAUCUUUAAGUCAGGGGUGAAAUCCUGGAGCUCAACUCCAGAACUGCCUUUGAUACUGGAGAUCUCGAGUCCGGAAGAGGUGAGUGGAACUCCGAGUGUAGAGGUGAAAUUCGUAGAUAUUCGGAAGAACACCAGUGGCGAAGGCGGCUCACUGGUCCGGUACUGACGCUGAGGUGCGAAAGCGUGGGGAGCAAACAGG
rnacentral:rRNA from 1 species